rnacentral:rRNA from 1 species
UACGUAGGGUGCAAGCGUUGUCCGGAAUUAUUGGGCGUAAAGAGCUCGUAGGCGGUCUGUCGCGUCGGAUGUGAAAACCCAGGGCUCAACCCUGGGCCUGCAUUCGAUACGGGCAGACUAGAGUUCGGUAGGGGAGACUGGAAUUCCUGGUGUAGCGGUGAAAUGCGCAGAUAUCAGGAGGAACACCGGUGGCGAAGGCGGGUCUCUGGGCCGAAACUGACGCUGAGGAGCGAAAGCGUGGGGAGCAAGCAGG